AUGACCUUCAUCAUCAUCUUCAUCUGGACUCUCACAGCGUUUGCUCAAGAGAGUAGAGGACAGAUCAGCGUCACUCAGAGUCCCUCAACAGCAGCUCAACCAGGAGAAACAGUGAAGAUCAGCUGCAAAACCAGCAAAGAUGUGUACAGUGAUGGUGCAGGGGUUUAUUUAUUCUGGUAUUUACAGAAACCUGGAGAAGCUCCUAAACUCAUGAUACGAUUUGUAAAAACGCUUGAGUCAGGAACUCCAUCUAGAUUCAGUGGCAGUGGAUCUAACAGUGAUUUCACUCUGACCAUCAGUGGAGUCCAGACUGAAGAUGCUGGACAUUAUUACUGUCAGAGUGUACACUACAUCAGUAGUAGCUGGGUGUUCACACAGUGAUAA